CCUACGGGAGGCAGCAGUGGGGAAUAUUGCACAAUGGGGGAAACCCUGAUGCAGCGACGCCGCGUGAGUGAAGAAGUAUCUCGGUACGUAAAGCUCUAUCAGCCGGGAAGAAAAUGACGGUACCUGUCUAAGAAGCACCGGCUAAUUCCGUGCCAGCAGCCGCGGUAAUACGUAGGGGGCAAGCGUUAUCCGGAUGUACUGGGUGUAAAGGGAGCGUAGACGGCAGCACAAGUCUGGAGUGAAAUCCCGGGGCUUAACCCCGGAACUGCUUUGGAUACUGUGCGGCUGGAGUGCAGGAGGGGUAAGCGGAAUUCCAAGUGUAGCGGUGAAAUGCGUAGAGAUUAGGAGGAACACCGGUGGCGAAGGCGGCUUACUGGACUGUAACUGACGUUGAGGCUCGAAAGCGUGGGGAGCAAACAGGAUUAGAUACCCGGGUAGUC
rnacentral:rRNA from 1 species